UCAGUGAUUAUCUGGAAUACAAGACAUCUAUGAAUGCCAUGUUGGCGAAAAUAAACUUUUCCAUGGAAGAUCUGUGAUCUCCCGAUCGAGGAACAGGGUGAGUGAUGAUAUAUCUCUGGUUGUGGGGACCUUCUACACGCACCAUGUGGUCCAAUAUG